rnacentral:lncRNA from 1 species
ACAAUGUGAUGGUCAUGAAGUCUCUGUCAGAGAGGAAAGAGGGAGUUAAUCUAUAAUGAAGAUCAACAGUGAAGAGGAAAGGGGUCUUCCCUGGAACGCUUCAGUCAUAUACGACAUUUUACACAACAAUAAUGGACCUGUGUAAGGAGGUAUGUGUGGGAGAAGAUUCCAGAAGGUCUUGAGACACUCCAGAUGAAGGUUGGUGUGGGGCUGUGCUGCUGGAGCACCAGAGAGUGAAAAGAGGUUAUCUCCCUCUGUGCCAGGCCAGAGUGCAGUGGUGCAAUCACGGCUCACUGUAGUCUCAACCUCCUGGGCUCAAGAGAUCCUCCCACUUCAGCCUCCCAAGCAGCUAAGACUACAGUUAUUUUAUUCUUAUGAGCUUGUGGGCUCCAUCUACCAACCUCUGGGCAAAUGCUCAUCUGACUUCCAUAGACACACAGCAAGCAGACAACCACACAAAGAGGAAGAGGGAGAAUAUUUACCAGCCAUGGAACAUCUGCUCUGUGCUUAUAUCUCAUAUGCAUUAUCUCUAAUUAUCAAAAGAAGGUUAGAAGCAAGGCACAAGUCAUACCUACAUUCAAGGAGAGGGGACCAUGCAAAGGAUAAACUGCAGAGAGACAACAGAUUUACAUCCCAGACACAUUCACACUGGGCCAAGAGCAGCUGCCAUUGCAGAUUCGAGUCACGUCCUUUUUUCCUUCCUUCUCCUUCUUGGAGUUACAACAGAAGCUGGGGAGGUGAGAGUGCAGAAAGGACGUGGAUGAAGCAGAGAGGCACGUGCCUGUCUCAUUCGCCUCUGGAUCUGCUGCAUCCAGGACUGUGCCAGCACAAAGUGGGAGCCCGAUAAAUAUUUAUUGAAGAAAUGAAAGGUGACAAAAGGCAGAAGGAGGGAGACCCCAAAAAGAGAGAUGGGAUCCCACUAUAUUGCACAGGCUGGUCUCAAACUCCUGAGCUCAAGCGAUCCUCCUGCCUUGGCCUCCCACGGUGCUGAGACUACAGGUGUGAGCCACCACUCCCAGCCUGAUUUAUAUUUUAUAAAGAGGCAACGAUGGAGUACACAGCUGAGCAAUCUCUUGCAUUUCUGGACCUUGAGCAUCAGGAAGCUUAGGGAGGGUGAAAACUCAGAAGAAAGCUCAGAGUUGAGACCUUUGAUUUUUUGCCCAGAGAGUCCAGCUAACACACUUUAUAACCCAAAAGGCCUUACAAAUAUUUCAGAGCAGAGGCAGCAUUUUUGCACUGGAUAAACAAAGGUACGGUAAUUUCUUCAUAGUUUAUUUUCAUUACAAGUAAUUCUUUUCCUGAAGAAAAAUUUAUAUUUCAGAUUUAUUUCCCCUCUCAAAGGGGAGGGGAGUUAUAAUAUUCUGUUUCCAUAGCACCAUUCCUCAAGAUCAAACCCAGGCAGGCAUUUUUACAGCACACACUUCCAUAUGUCAUUGCUAAUCCUCGCAACCUUGAGGAAACUGAGGUGCAAAGGGGUUGAGGAAUGUGUUCACCAUCCCAAAGCCAACGAAGUGCCAGAACCCAAAUCCAAGCUUGGCUGUCUCAUCCCCAAGGACGUACUCUUUAUGCCGUUCCUUAUGACUUUUCAUGCAGCAGGUGCAAGGCAGCAAGAAUUUGGCUCUUCUGACAUUUAUCAGGCACCUGGUAUGUGCCAGGCCUACUGUAAACCCCAAGAUGACAUGGUCCAUGUCUAUCCAUUCAGCAUCAGAGAGACUGUUAUCAGGACUUGAGGCCUGAGACACAGCCCUGAAUCAGAUGCAGGCCUCUGGUGUUUGCAAAGGAUGCGUGAGUAUGUGUAUGUGUAUGCGUGCAUUGUGUGUAGGGGUGUGUGUAUGUUGGGGGUUGGGGGCAGAAAAUGCUCCCUGAACUGUUGGUAUUAAGGCAGAUCUUUGAUGGAGGGACUGGGGUGUGGAGACUUGAACCCUAGUUUCAAAGUGGGGACCUCGAACACUAGUAUGGCCAGCAGACAGGCUGGAGUUGCUGAAUUGUCAGCUAGGUCUUUAAUCCACUCCCCUUCUCUAAAUCAGGGUGGAAUUGGACUCAGGGCUGGUUCAGGGCUGAGGUUUCCGGGGGAUGAAUGAUUCCAGACAGUGGGAAGGGGUGAUGGAUGAUGAACCUGGCAAGUCACAGGACUAUGGACUUGGCUGUAUGUUGCAUGUAUGUGUAAGAUCUGAGUUGAGACCUUUGAUUUUUGCCCAGAAAGUCCAGCUAACAUACUAUAUAAGCCAGUGAGACCAGCCAGUGUCUGUUCAUUGCCUCUGCCUUGCCCCUAUGCCUGCCCGCCUCCUAUAGCAGGUCCCUAUAGCAUAAUGAAAAUGCGAACAACCUUUUCUCUGGACACUGGGGAAUCUAGUCUGGUGGAUAAAGAUGGAUGGCUGUUAAACGAUC